rnacentral:rRNA from 1 species
UACAGGGGGUGCAAACGUUGCUCGGAAUCAUUGGGCGUAAAGCGCACGUAGGCGGUUCGUUAUGUCGGAUGUGAAAGCCCUUGGCUUAACCGAGGAAGUGCAUCCGAAACUGGCGAGCUAGAGUACGAAAGAGGAUCGCGGAAUUCCCGGUGUAGUGGUGAAAUGCGUAGAGAUCGGCAGGAACACCCAGGGGGAAACCAGCCGACUGGGCAUCUGCUGACGCUGAUGUGCGAGAGCGUGGGGAGCGAACCGG